AUACGGAGGAUGCAAGCGUUGUUCGGAAUCACUGGGCUUAAAGAGCGUGUAGGCGGGAUGUAGGGUGUCUUGUGAAAGCCCCCGGCUCAACCGGGGAAUUGCUUGGCAAACCGACAUUCUUGAGGCAGGUAGAGGCGACUGGAACCUUUGGUGGAGAGGUGAAAUUCGUAGAUAUCAAAGGGAACGCCGGUGGCGAAAGCGAGUCGCUGGGCCUGUCCUGACGCUGAGACGCGAAAGCGUAGGUAGCGAACGGGAUUAGAAACCCUAGUAGUCC
rnacentral:rRNA from 1 species